GACGAACGCUGGCGGCGUGGAUUAGGCAUGCAAGUCGAACGGUAUAAACCUUUCGGGGUUUAGAGAGUGGCGAACGGGUGAGUAACACGUAGGUAAUCUACCCUCAAAACGGGGACAACCCAGGGAAACUUGGGCUAAUACCGGAUGCGUGCAAGCAAUGUUUUGGCUGUUAAUGCUAUUCACGGAAGUGAGUAGUGUUAAUGGUUGAGAGCAUUAUUUGCAUAAAAGGUGGCAUAUGCUGCCGUUUGAGGAUGAGCCUGCGUCCUAUUAGUUAGUUGGUGAGGUAACGGCUCACCUAGGCAAUGAUAGGUAGGCGGCCUUAACGGGUGGUCGCCCACACUGGGAUUGAGAUACGGCCCAGACUCCUACGGGAGGCAGCAGUCGAGAAUAGUCUACAAUGGUCGGAAGACUGAUAGUGCGACGCCGCGUGAACGAUGAAUCCCUUCGGGGUGUAAAGUUCUUUUAUAUGUGAGCAGUGCUUCUUAUAUUAACAGUAUGGGGAGAGAGA
rnacentral:rRNA from 1 species